AGGACGGAGAAGGGGGCUGUAUUUCCCCUGGCGUGUGAAAUGGAUGUUAGUGACUAAAGCUCAAUUUUCCAGUUAAGGGAGGAGCCGAGACUUUUAAGUCGAGUGUUCCUGUGGGGCCAAAAGGAUGGUUUCAGAGAAAUCCCAGGAAGUGAGAGUGCUGGGAUAUGCGAGGGGCCCACGGAGCCCUCCCCUGCGUGUCUGAGAUCACACCCUGCGGGUACCCUGCCGUCGUGUGCUGAAGGAGGUGACUGGAUCUCGACUCCAGAGUUUGCUCCUGAGAUCGAAAAACAAAACAACCCAAUAAUAGAUACAAGAUGGAAAAAAAAGCUAUUGAACUUGUGGAGAAAGUGGCUGGUUUAAAUUAGUCCUGUCCCUGAAAAUCCAAGCUGCGUGUUUGUCAGUCUUAUGGCUGAUUUAACUCAUAGGCCCAGGAGAGAAAGGAUAGAAGGAAGCCUGAAUGACCAGCAAAGAAUCUGCAUCCAAUCAACACUCAGAGCAUGUAUGCUACAUUCUUCAGAAACCUUCAGGAGUCAUAGACUGUGGUCAGUUCUUCGUCAGAAUUAUUUUAGAUUUACUUCAGUUGUUUUUUCAUCAAAUGCACAUAAAACAUGGAAUUGUUCUUAGCUGUGCAGACCUUGUCUAUUUUCUGAAAGGAAAAACAAUGUUAAUUUUUAAAGCCCUACAUACAUUACAUCUUUGUACUUUUCAAAUCAUUGUGUCACCCCCUUCCCUUCUCUUUUGAAGGUGCCUGGCUGAAUCUCUCCUAUUCUCACAAUGGCUUUGCCUCCAUUCUGCUGAAGUCGCUUCCCAUUGCUCACAUUAUUAUACUGUUUUUACUUCACUUCCAAGCUUGUUUCUGACUACACAAAGGGUGCUGUAAUUCUGAGUUCCCUAUAUAUAGAGUUGCUUUUCCAGGAACAUUAUUAAUAAAAGGAAAGGUCUUCCUUUUCCAUUAUGGAGAUA
ensembl:lncRNA novel transcript